rnacentral:lncRNA from 1 species
NUCCUUCCGGCGCGUGUGCGGGCUCUCGAGCAGCGCGCAGAAGCCGUAAACGGUGCGCGCGCGGGGCAGGUGCGGCAGCGAGAGCGCAGCCUGGGAGCGCGGGUCCCAGUCGGUGCGACCCGCGCAGUCUUCGUCACUGUCUUCGCGGUCGUCAGGGAUGCGCGGCCACAGGUCCGGUUCGGCCGCGCAGCGCCAAGGCAGUGCGGCAGCGGGAAGCGGUGAUUCGAGAGCGCCGGGGACCUGCAGCCGCGGGGGGAUGCAGAACUCUGGGAUGCGGCCCGGGGUGAGCACGUUGGAGAAGGCAGGCUCAGGAGUGGAGGAGCGAAGUCGACCGAGAAGCUUCAUCCUUCUAGCUUAUGCCCGAGCGUUGUGGAUACACGAGCCUCUGCAACACAGAGAAAAACUGUUGAAUUUGGGCUCCUGAAGUCCAGUGGAUCCCUUCUUUGACCCUCUGAAAGCACCCACAAAUCUAGGGCUCCGGGUCAGCACGAAUCAACCUUUGGAGCAUCCUCAUGGUAACAAACUAUAUACAUGAAUAUAUAGAAAUCAGACCUUUUCUUCUUCAGUCUCGCUGGGUCCGACUAGUCGCAGGAACGAAGCAGGUGACGUGUAGCUCACAGCUAGGGCUACACCUGCAGCACUGCAGCUGUGAAAGUGGCGCUCCAAACUUAUACCUUAGUGGAAGUCACGCCCAGGCCCCAAGAGGCCAAUCCGAAGAGGUAACAGACCGAGCCCGCCUUUCAGCCGUCCCUUCCCACUAAAUCUCCAGCUGCUAGCUGUAUAGGUGUCGCAGGAGCUGGCUCUGGGACUUACAUUGGCUGUCCCUUCGCUGGAGCGCCAUUUACAGGAGGCAGCAGAUGAGUAAAGGGCAUCCUGUCACCAUGCGAAAGAGAAUUUGGUAGUUCGAAGUGUUUGUGGCCUCUCAGAGAAGGAUGCAUACCUGUUUCCAAGCACAGACUAAACUUGGCAUGUCUGUUUAGGAUGGGGUUAUGUGCAGAACGUUUUGCGAAAUUGAAAACGCAUUAGUCCGCCUACGUUUAACAUAUCCAGACUGCUUGGAUUCGACACUGGACUAAAAGGUUGGAGUAAAGUGGUUGCAUUCACUUGAAUUCAAAAAUCGUAGAUACUAAGUCCCGGGUCAGCAGCUUAUUUAGCCUCUGUCUCCCUCUGCUGGACUGUCCUUGAUAUCACCAUGGUCUGGGCUACCUGAUGCCCUAAGUACUGGUGACUUGGGUAAAUAAAGUGCAAAAUCCU